CUGUGCGGCAUGGGAAGGUCAGCAUGGGCAUAACUGGGCACACACUGCCCCUCACAGGCUCUUGAUGUCAGCCCUGGCCCCCUGAAGCCACCCAGCCUUGAAGACCGGGAUGAGGGUCAGGAGACCGGGAAGAGUGAGGUGGGCACCAGGGCUGACACCCAGCACCCCUGUUUUGCUGCAUGCUGGGGAGACACUCCCUUGGUGGUAAGGCAGGGCCAGCUGGGAGGACCCACGGGGCAGGGUCCUCUGUGUCACAGAGCAAGACAGGCAGUGCUACGAGAGCCCACUGAGGCCUCGUGCAC
rnacentral:lncRNA from 1 species